GCUGUGUGGUGGCGCAUGCCUGUAAUCCCAGUGACUUGGGAGGCUGAGGCAGGAGGAUUGCAAAUUGGAGGCCAGCCUUGGCAAGUUAGCAAGACCCUGUCUCAA
rnacentral:sRNA from 1 species